rnacentral:misc_RNA from 1 species
AUCGGAGUUGUCGAAUCUCAUCGUUGGAGCUUGUGAGAAGUACGGUUUCUUCAAGGUGAUCAACCAUAGAGUGUCUAAUGAAAUCAUUUCCAAAAUGGAACAAGAAAGUUUGAGCUUCUUUGCUAAGCCUUUCCCUGAAAAGGAACUUGCUGGGCCUGCUAAUCCUUUCGGUUAUGGCUGCAAAAACAUUGGCUUUAACGGUGAUAUAGGAGAGGUUGAAUAUCUUGUUCUUAACAGUCAUCCUCUCUCCAUUUCUCAAAGAUCCAAAUCCAUCUCCAAUGACCCCAACAAAUUCAGCUCUGCUGUGAGUGGUUACAUAGAAGCAGUUAGGGAGGUGGCAUGUGAGAUACUAGAUCUUAUGGCAGAGGGGUUGGGGGUCCCAGACACAUCAGUGUUUAGCAGGCUGAUCAGCGACGUUGAUAGCGACUCCAUCAUCAGGCUCAAUCACUACCCACCUUCUUACAGCACCAACAGGGUUGGGUUUGGAGAGCACUCUGACCCUCAGAUCCUGACCCUCUUGAGAUCCAACGAUGUGGGUGGCCUACAGAUUUCCUUAAAUGAUGGUGCAUGGGUCCCAGUUUCACCUGAUCCCACAGGUUUCUGUGUCAAUGUUGGGGAUGUGUUGCAGGCUAUGACCAAUGGGAGAUUUG